CCGGGGUAUAGUGGCAAACGGGUGCGUAACGCGUAAACAACCUGCCCCAAACUGGGGGAUAGCCCGGCGAAAGCUGGGGUAAACCCGCAUAGACUUACCUGGUGGCAUCAUCGGGGUGAGUAAAGGCUUCGGCUGGUUUGGGAGGGGUUUGCGUCUGAUUAGCUAGUUGGGGGGUAGUGGCCCACCAAGGCGAUGAUCAGUAGGGGCUCUGAGAGGAGGGUCCCCCACAUGGGCACUGAGACACGGGCCCA
rnacentral:rRNA from 1 species